GAUGAACGCUGGCGGCGUGCUUAACACAUGCAAGUCGAACGGACAGGCGAUGCGCUUGUGGGGUGCACGAGAGGCGCACGCGUGUGUAACACGUGAGUAACCUGCCCUUGAAUUUGGGAUAACUUCAGGAAACUGGGGCUAAUACCGGAUAGGAGCUCCUGCUGCGUGUUGGGGGUUGGAAAGUUUCGGCGGUUCGGGAUGGACUCGCGGCUUAUCAGCUUGUUGGUCGGGUAGUGGCUUACCAAGCGUAUGACGGGUAGCCGGCCUGAGAGCGUGAACAGCGACCAUGGGACUACGAGACGCCCCAGUCUCCUACGGGCGGCAGCAGUGGGGAGUCUGACACAAUGGGCGGACGCCUGAUGCAGCAGCGCUGCGUGCGGGAUGCCGUCCUACUAGUGGAAAACCGCUUUCGCCUGUGACGAAGCGUGCUUGACGGUAAUGGGUCAAGAAGCACCGGCUAACUACGUG
rnacentral:rRNA from 1 species